UUUGGUUUUAAUAGUGACAUCGACGAAGAAGUAAUUAACCCUAUACAUCAACAAUCUUUGUUGGUUAAAAUUUAAUGCCUAGUAUGUAAGCAUCUGAUGCUGAAAUUCUCAAAUUGGGCUGCUUGACAUAUUCAUGUUAUUAUAUUCCCAUUUCACAAGAUAUUAUUAUUCCCACUUAUGUCAAACGAGACUAUAAAUAUCAGAGUGAUUUGAUGCAAUACUGCAAAACAUUUCUUAGUGUAAGAUUAAAUUAAAAGAGAAUUGUAGAGAGAAAUGGCAUCAGUGAAAGCUGAGAAACCAGUUGGUACUCAACCAUCUGCCCCAGCUACAAAGAAAGCAUCUACUAAGGCUCCUCUUACUUCCAAGUCCACCCAGAAAAAGACUCGUGAGCCUAAGAAAAAGGCUUCAGGUAGCAAGGCAGCUGCAAAGAAUAACUAAGAAAUUGGAGUAAUUAGAGUAUGAUGAAGAAUAUGGCUGCUGUUGACUGCUGUUUAAAAUUAUGAGUGAUGCAAUAACUAGCUUGUACUUUCUACUCUAUGGUUUCCUCUUAAUGAAAUAAUCUCAUAGUUAAUUUCAA